AGCGUCGGGCCCAUACCCGGCCGUCGCUGGCAGCAGGAGCCGCGAGGGCUACGCCGCGACGAGUAGGAGGGCCGCCGCGGUGAGCAUGGAAGCCUAGGGCGCGGGCCCAGGUGGAGNCCGCCGCG
rnacentral:rRNA from 1 species